rnacentral:tRNA from 1 species
AAUAGUGUGCUUGACUAAAAGGCCGUCUUGAUAGGGCGGAUAAUGCGGAUUUCCGUCACUAUUA